GGGGCAUUGGCGCAGUUGGCUAGCGCGCUUCAAUGGCAUUGAAGAGGUCGAGGGUUCGAAUCCCUCAUGCUCCACCA
rnacentral:tRNA from 1 species